rnacentral:rRNA from 1 species
UACGUAGGGUGCAAGCGUUGUCCGGAAUUAUUGGGCGUAAAGAGCGUGUAGGCGGCCCGAUUAGUCCGCUGUGAAAGUCCAGGGCUCAACCCUGGAAUGCCGGUGGAUACUGUCGGGCUAGAGUCCGGAAGGGGCGAGUGGAAUUCCGCGUGUAGCAGUGAAAUGCGUAGAGAUGCGGAGGAACACCGAUGGCGAAGGCAGCCCCCUGGGCCAACACUGACGCUCAGGCACGAAAGCGUGGGGAGCAAACAGG